UCCCUCCAGCCCCCACUCCCAACCCCACCUCUGGCAGGGCUUGGCCUACCCUGGGAGAGAAGGGGACAAUGCCACUCUCCCAAGGCCAGAGUUCAGCGGCUGCGAUGUUUUGGCAGGAAGAGGAGAGGCCUUGGCAGGGGGUGGACCUGACCUUGACUUCCGCCUGAGCAGGAAUCCCGCACUGCACUGGGCUGGGCUGGGGCUGCCUGGAGGACCUGCUUCCCAGGCCUGGAGCCCACUAAACAUCUGCCUCAAUCCCUGGGGUUGAUCUGAUCUUCACCCUGACCUUGACUCACUUUACAGUGGGAAGGUGACUGGGAGCAUUGCCCAGGACUCAAGAUGGGAGCAAACCUGUGUCUUGAGCAGAGGCCAGUGACCCUGCAGAGAAAGGUGGUCAGUGGCCACUCCAAGAGCCCAAGUAACCCUGAGCCUCGCCUCAAGUUUGUACAAGGCAAAGACGAGAUAACUGGGGAUGAGUAUGACGGCCGGGCCCGGGUGGAGAUGAGCUGUGGGCACAUGGUGGACCCUGGAAGCCUAAAGGAGUGGUGCCGCUGUCUGAUGGAGAAGGGCCACUUCGAGCUUCACUGCCCUGCGGAAGUCAAGGGGCAGAAGUGUGGAGCGCAGUGGUCCUACCCAGAGGUGCGCCACUGUGCCCAGCUGAGUAAGUCCGAGCAGCAGGAGUUUGAGGAGGGCCUGACCCAGAAUGCCAUGGGACGCUACUAUGAGGUGAAAGAGUGCCCCGGCUGCCGAAGCUUCGUGAAGCGCCAGGAUGAGACCCUGCUGUGUGUGUGGUGCCCCAUCUGCUCCACCGUGCGGGGACAGAGGUACGAGUUCUGCUGGCAGUGCCUGCAGACCUGGAGAGGGCCCCUGUCCUCAAACCGCUGCGUCAACAAAGACUGCAGUGACCCGAGGCUGCACAUCCUGGCCACCUGUGCCACCACAGACAUCACGAGCAAGAUCCUAGGCUGCCCCUCGAUCCGGGCCUGCCCCACGUGCGGGCUGCUGAUCAAGCACAAGGAAGGCUGCAAGUACGUCCGAUGCUGCCGGUGCCGUGUGGAGUUCUGCUUCACCUGCCUGGAGACGGCCAAGGCCUGCAAGGCCACCCAGCCAAAAAGCUGGUACUCGCAGUGUGCCAGGGGCCUGGCCCCACGGCAGAGCCACGUUCCUGUGUGGAACAAGCAGACGAAGAAGAGGAAUGGUUGGUUUUGUGAGUGGUGAUGGGUCCAGGCAGUGCCUGGUGCUCCUGCCGCCAUCCUCCCUGCCGCUGCCUGAAAUGUCCUUCCUGCCAGUCACCAGCCCUUUCAGAAACAACUGAGAGGAGCUCCUUAGUCUGUGACUGAUGCUCGACCCCCAGAGCAGAGACACCGUUCCUGAGGGUCAAGGACAGGGGACAGCAGGGACAGCAGCACAUUCCGGGUUCUCUGAGAGACCGAGGGAGGAAUGAAAUUGUCAGCUUGGACAGGCGGAACACUGCAGCAUGCCAGAUCCACAGCGCCAGCUCACUGACCACACAGUUUUUGGCCAGGGCCAGGUUUGAACCCUCCACCUCCGAUAUAUGGGGCCGGCGCCCUACUCCUUUGAGCCACAGGUGCCUCCCUGUGCUUUGAACUUCUUUUCAAAAUAAUUUAAUUGGCCGAGUGCGAUGGCUCACAGCUAUAAUCCCAGCAUUGUGGGAGGCCUAAGCGGGUGGAUUGCCUGAGCUCAUGAAGUCGAGACCAGCCUGAGCAAGAGCAAGACCAUAGUCUCUACUAAAAUAAACAAAUAAAUAAAUAAUAGAAAAACUGAGGCAAGAGGAUCACUUGAGCCCAAGAGUUUGAGGCUGUGAGCUAUGAUGACACCAUGGCACUCUACCCAGGGCAAUAGCUUGAGACUGUCUCAAAAAUAAUAAUAAUAAUAAUAAUAAUAAUGUAAUUGAUGAUCUUUAAAAAUUUUCAAAGUACACCUAAGAUCCUCUGAUUUACACAGGUUGAAAAUCACUGCAUUAGAGUGAUAA